GGGUCUCCAGGGAGGACCUGAGUUUUCUUUACCCAGGGAAAUCCCACUUCCAUCUGGAUGUCUGGAUGAACUACUGAAAGCCGCUGAGUGUCCUGCAGCAGCUGAACUGUGGCCAGAGCCCAAGGAUGAAGGCGGCUCCCUCUGUCUGUGACUGUGAAGAGGAAGCCUGAGGUGUAGCAGACCCAGGCCCCAGAAGGAUGGAAAAAAUGAGGUAGGGAGUGAGGGGACCUCAGGAGAAGACUGAGGUCUGCAGA
rnacentral:lncRNA from 10 species